rnacentral:rRNA from 1 species
UACGAAGGGGGCUAGCGUUGUUCGGAUUUACUGGGCGUAAAGCGCGCGUAGGCGGAUCGCUAAGUCAGGGGUGAAAUCCCAAGGCUCAACCUUGGAAUUGCCUUUGAUACUGGCAAUCUGGAGUUCGGGAGAGGUGAGUGGAAUUCCGAGUGUAGAGGUGAAAUUCGUAGAUAUUCGGAGGAACACCAGAAGCGAAGGCGGCUCACUGGCCCGAUACUGACGCUGAGGCGCGAAAGCGUGGGGAGCAAACAGG